rnacentral:tRNA from 1 species
GGGCCGGUAGUUCAGCUUGGUAUACAUUUGGCCAAAGAACGUCCGGUUCGCAACCGGAAGGCCGCGGGUUCAAAUCCCGCCCGGUCCACCA